rnacentral:misc_RNA from 1 species
UACCGUCUCAGUGCUGUGAGCUGC